GACGAACGCUGGCGGCGUGCUUAACACAUGCAAGUCGAACGGUGAAGCUCCAGCUUGCUUGAGUGGAUCAGUGGCGAACGUGUGAGUAACACGUGAGCAACCUGCCCCUGACUCUGGAAUAAGCGCUGGAAACGGCGUCUAAUACUGGAUACGAGAAGGGUCCGCAUGGGCACUUUCUGGAAAGUUUUUCGGUUGGGGAUGGGCUCGCGGCCUAUCAGCUUGUUUGUGAGGUAAUGGCUCACCAAGGCGACGACGGGUAGCCGGCCUGAGAGGGCGACCGGCGAAACUGGGACUGAGACACGGACCAGACGCCAAGGGGAGGCAGCAGUGGGGAAUAUUGCACAAUGGGCGAAAGCCUGAUGAAGAGACGCCGCGUGAGGGAUGACGGCCUUCGGGUUGUAAAAAUCUUUCAGCAGGGAAGAAGCGAAAGUGACGGUACCUGCAGAAGAAGCACCGGCUAACUACGUG
rnacentral:rRNA from 1 species